UACGUAGGUGGCAAGCGUUGACCGGAUUUACUGGGCGUAAAGAGCGCGCAGGCGGUCGUUUAAGUCGAAUGUGAAAGCCCCCGGCUCAACUGGGGAGGGUCAUUCGAUACUGAUCGACUUGAAGGCAGGAGAGGGAAGUGGAAUUCCGGGUGUAGUGGUGAAAUGCGUAGAUAUCCGGAGGAACACCAGUGGCGAAGGCGACUCCCUGGCCUGUCCUUGACGCUGAGGCGCGAAAGCGGGGGGAGCAAACAGG
rnacentral:rRNA from 1 species